AUCUUUGUUUUUAGUUCAGAUGCAUUGAUUUUGCCUUACCUAACUUCCGAAAGUUUCCUCCUUUUAUCUUAAGUAAUCCUGUGUUUGUGAGCAUAAAUGACCAAAACCAGCCUAUGAUCACAGGUGAUGCAGUGAUUGGUGAUGGCUAUGGUUUUCUUCCCACUGAACUAAACAUGCUAAAACGGAAAAGAAGACAAGAGGACGUGUCAUCCAUGGCAGUGUGUCAUUCUCCCGCUGAUGGUCCACUUUGCAGAGAAAUAUGAGGGGCUCAUUGUACUGGUUAAUGUCUUCCCAGUGGUGAUGUAGAGCUGAUGUGGAGGCAACAGUGCUGCUUCCUUCGUCCUUCCUUUCUUCAAGACCUGCGUUUUUUGUCUUUUGCCAAACUUUAGGCAGUAUCUUAUACAGUAGAAACUAAGCCUAACACUUGAAGCCCCGUAGGCGUUGCUUGACUGACACCAAUCUGACGAGCUUGCUCAGCCGGUGGAAUCUCUUGUAUACAUGAAUAAGCAAACUGGACGUGUUCUUUCUGAACGUUAUUAAUUGUGGCUCACCACAAUGUUGAAGUGCAUACAGUAGCAGUACGCCAAGUCAGCAUUGUAUGCAAUAGUCAUUAACAGGAAUGAGACACGACAGAAGUUUAUCAUGCACACACCGAGCGUAGCGUUCAAAACUGUUUGUGUUCCCCUCCGCCAGGCAACACCUGUCAUCUGAGCAAAGGUUCUCCCACGUGUAACCCCCAAUUGCGUUGCAGUGCCAUUGUACAAUUACAGCAUCACAUUAUGUCUAACAGUCUUAUUGCUUUAGUACUUUUUUAUUAGAGGUGAUGUAACCCUUUCAUGGGGAAGGCAGUAGAAAAAGUAUUCAUCUAAAUUAUGUUUAUUCAUCAAAACAUCAAAUGAUGUUGUCACACUCAACAGAUUGGAUGAUGAGCAUUGGGCCUGUUUUUGUUUUGUGAUAUAUUUACAUUGUAGUUUGCUGAUGAGUUUUUGUACAUGACUACAGUGAUGGGCAAAUGUACGUUUCUGUGUUUAUUGCAUUAUUGUCUUAACACCUUUUCAUUAUUGCUGUGCUUUAUUUGCAUGCUAUUGUGCAUUGGUGGUGAUACCCUGUGUCUCAUAUGAUAUGACCUGCACCUUACAUGUAUUCCUGGGACAAGAGUGUGCCGGUUGUGCAUAUCUACCACCAACUACUCAGACAACCCAAGGGCAUCUGCUUCUAACACCUGGAACUAAAAAAACAGACUGAUGCUGUGCUUUUAAGCGUUUAAUAAACUUUGUUUUAGCUACACUGACUUGCGUGGUUCUUAAAAUGAACAGAUUAUGCCUGAGCAAAAUGUGAUGGAUAUUUUUGUUGUAUAUUAUGAACCCCAAGGAACCCUCCAGCUCUCCAAAUCACCCUCAUAUCUGUUACCUUACAGUAUGUGAAACAGAUGGAGUUUAAACAUCUUUUGUACCUAUAAGAAGCAAGUAGGCCUAGGUCUAAACUUAAAGACUGGUCAACUUUCCUGUUGUCUUAUCUUGUGUAAAGGAUAGCAGAUUUUACUUUUACUUCAUAGGCCUAUAGGC